UAGGGAAUCUUCGGCAAUGGACGAAAGUCUGACCGAGCAACGCCGCGUGAGUGAAGAAGGUUUUCGGAUCGUAAAACUCUGUUGUUAGAGAAGAACAAGGACGUUAGUAACUGAACGUCCCCUGACGGUAUCUAACCAGAAAGCCACGGCUAACUACGUGCCAGCAGCCGCGGUAAUACGUAGGUGGCAAGCGUUGUCCGGAUUUAUUGGGCGUAAAGCGAGCGCAGGCGGUUUCUUAAGUCUGAUGUGAAAGCCCCCGGCUCAACCGGGGAGGGUCAUUGGAAACUGGGACACUUGAGUGCAGAAGAGGAGAGUGGAAUUACAUGUGUAGCGGUGAAAUGCGUAGAUAUAUGGAGGAACACCAGUGGCGAAGGCGGCUCUCUGGUCUGUAACUGACGCUGAGGCUCGAAAGCGUGGGGAGCAAACAG
rnacentral:rRNA from 1 species